GACGAACGCUGGCGGCGUGCCUAAUACAUGCAAGUCGAACGCUGAAGGAGGAGCUUGCUUCUCUGGAUGAGUUGCGAACGGGUGAGUAACGCGUAGGUAACCUGCCUGGUAGCGGGAGAUAACUAUUGGAAACGAUAGCUAAUACCGCAUAAGAGUAGAUGUUGCAUGACAUUUGCUUAAAAGGUGCAAUUGCAUCACUACCAGAUGGACCUGCGUUGUAUUAGCUAGUUGGUGGGGUAACGGCUCACCAAGGCGACGAUACAUAGCCGACCUGAGAGGGUGAUCGGCCACACUGGGACUGAGACACGGCCCAGACUCCUACGGGAGGCAGCAGUAGGGAAUCUUCGGCAAUGGACGGAAGUCUGACCGAGCAACGCCGCGUGAGUGAAGAAGGUUUUCGGAUCGUAAAGCUCUGUUGUAAGAGAAGAACGAGUGUGAGAGUGGAAAGUUCACACUGUGACGGUAGCUUACCAGAAAGGGACGGCUAACUACGUG
rnacentral:rRNA from 1 species